AUUGAACGCUGGCGGCAGGCCUAACACAUGCAAGUCGAGCGGAUGAAGGGAGCUUGCUCCUGGAUUCAGCGUCGGACGGGUGAGUAAUGCCUAGGAAUCUGCCUGGUAGUGGGGGAUAACGUCCGGAAACGGGCGCUAAUACCGCAUACGUCCUGAGGGAGAAAGUGGGGGAUCUUCGGACCUCACGCUAUCAGAUGAGCCUAGUUCGGAUUAGCUAGUUGGUGGGGUAAAGGCCUACCAAGGCGACGAUCCGUAACUGGUCUGAGAGGAUGAUCAGUCACACUGGAACUGAGACACGGUCCAGACUCCUACGGGAGGCAGCAGUGGGGAAUAUUGGACAAUGGGCGAAAGCAUGAUACAGCCAUGCCGCGUGUGUGAAGAAGGUCUUCGGAUUGUAAAGCACUUUAAGUUGGGAGGAAGGGCAGUAAGUUAAUACCUUGCUGUUUUGACGUUACCAACAGAAUAAGCACCGGCUAACUUCGUG
rnacentral:rRNA from 1 species